GAUGAACGCUGGCGGCGUGCCUAAUACAUGCAAGUCGAGCGAACGGACGAGAAGCUUGCUUCUCUGAUGUUAGCGGCGGACGGGUGAGUAACACGUGGAUAACCUACCUAUAAGACUGGGAUAACUUCGGGAAACCGUAGCUAAUACCGGAUAAUAUUUUGAACCGCAUGGUUCAAAAGUGAAAGACGGUCUUGCUGUCACUUAUAGAUGGAUCCGCGCUGCAUUAGCUAGUUGGUAAGGUAACGGCUUACCAGGCAACGAUGCAUAGCCGACCUGAGAGGGUGAUCGGCCACACUGGAACUGAGACACGGUCCAGACUCCUACGGGAGGCAGCAGUAGGGAAUCUUCCGCAAUGGGCGAAAGCCUGACGGAGCAACGCCGCGUGAGUGAUGAAGGUCUUCGGAUCGUAAAACUCUGUUAUUAGGGAAGAACAUAUGUGUAAGUAACUGUGCACAUCUUGACGGUACCUAAUCAGAAAGCCACGGCUAACUACGUG
rnacentral:rRNA from 1 species